GACGUAGGGAGCGAGCGUUAUCCGGAAUCAUUGGGUUUAAAGGGUCCGUAGGCGGUUUUGUAAGUCAGUGGUGAAAGCCCAUCGCUCAACGGUGGAACGGCCAUUGAUACUGCAAGACUUGAAUUAUUAGGAAGUAACUAGAAUAUGUAGUGUAGCGGUGAAAUGCUUAGAGAUUACAUGGAAUACCAAUUGCGAAGGCAGGUUACUACUAAUGGAUUGACGCUGAUGGACGAAAGCGUGGGGAGCGAACAGG
rnacentral:rRNA from 1 species